UACAGAGGGUGCUAGCGUUGUUCGGAAUUAUUGGGCGUAAAGCGCGUGUAGGCGGCCUGGCAAGUUGGGUGUGAAAGCCCUCGGCUUAACCGAGGAAGUGCGCCCAAAACUACUAGGCUUGAGUACCGGAGAGGAUAGUGGAAUUCCCGGUGUAGAGGUGAAAUUCGUAGAUAUCGGGAGGAACACCGGUGGCGAAGGCGGCGACCUGGGUAGAUACUGACGCUGAGGUGCGAAAGCGUGGGGAGCAAACAGG
rnacentral:rRNA from 1 species